AAGGAUCAUUAACGAGAGAGGGUCCUUCGGGGCCCGACCCUCCCACCCCGUGUGUACCUACCUUCGUUGCUUCGGCGGGCCCGCAGGCCCCUCAUCGGGUUUGCCACUGGCCUCGGUCAGUCCGUGCCCGCCGGAAGCCCCCACCCAACCCGAUUUUGCCGGUGGAGUCCGAGAGUGAACGCAAUAACUAAAACUUUCAACAACGGAUCUCUUGGUUCUGGCAUCGAUGAAGAACGCAGCGAAAUGCGAUAAGUAAUGUGAAUUGCAGAAUUCAGUGAAUCAUCGAAUCUUUGAACGCACAUUGCGCCCCCUGGUAUUCCGGGGGGCAUGCCUGUCCGAGCGUCAUUACACCUCUCAAGCUCAGCUUGGUGUUGGGCCCUGUCCUCUAAGGCGGGCCCGAAUAUCAGUGGCGGUGCCAUCGGGCUUCAAGCGUAAUACAGCCUAUCCCGCUUUGGAAGACCCGGGGGGGCCAGCCAGUCAACCCCCGACAUAUCACGGUUGACCUCGGAUCAGGUAGGGAUACCCGCUGAACUUAA
rnacentral:rRNA from 2 species